rnacentral:lncRNA from 1 species
GUGUAGUAUGUAGUGUGUGUGAGUAGGCGUAUUGUGAAUUUUCGUGUAGGAUGGUGUAAUUUGUUUACUUCAAGUGUUUUAAAUUGUGAUCGAACAAUUUCGAAACCUAAAGGUCUAACUGAAAAAGAAAUGAUUGAUGCAUUAUUCGAAACACCAGAAGAUUCUUGUAUCGGAAGUAAUUAGCUGUGAAUUCAUAUCUACUAAAAGAGGAAGACCAAAUAAAGAAAAUAAACAAACUAAUAUAACUGACAGAAAAACCAGAGGUGUUUACAAACGACAUUUCUAGGUGUUAGAUUUGAUGGUAUCAACAUUUUCCUGAUUGGUUUGGGACUAGACAAAAGUGUAAAUACUUAAGACUGCAAAGGUAUAACAUAUGCUAUUUGUAAUAAAUGUAAUAAAUCCUUAUGCUUCACUAAAAGUUCUAACUGUUUUAAAAAAGUACCUUACUAAACAAAUGUAACAAGUAUACUUGGUUAAUAUAAAUUACUGUAAAAAUUGGUAGGUAAAUAAAGUCCAUUGUAAAAAUAAUAACCAUUUAUUUCAAAUCCACAAGACACAUUAGACAAACGUAACCAUUAUACCAUAAUAUAACAUAUACCAUAUAUUGUAUUGUUGACACAGCAUCACUAUCAAAUAAACUCCGCUCAUCAUCGGUUUUUCGUUAGCAAUGAUAUAUUGUUGCUUACAGAUAUACAUUGAAUUCUCUUCUGUAUCCUACCUUCUCAACUUCCGACCUACAGCAGUGGCUGCACCCACAUGCAUAUUAUGGAUAUCCAGUUCAUGAAAUGAAUGAUUUCACUAUGUGGAUGUGACAUAUACAUAUAGUACCAUAUAUUAAGCCUAGAUUAACAGAUUUCAAGUAGUUAUUUUUAAUUUUGAUCAAAUAUAUCACUGAUUCAUUGGAAUUAAUAUUAUCAUGAUAUUAUUAUUACUAGGUACUUAGUUAUAUAUAUAUAUAUAUUAUUAUUUUUUAAUAAAAGGAAAAGAAUAUUUAUGUUUCACACAAAUCUAUUUCUUCUAAUAUCAUAAUAAGAAGAGUUAAAAUUCAAUAACCAAGCGAGGUAUGACUUAUGUUUUUCAACCAGUAUUAAUUUGUCAUUUAGACCUUUAUGUCAUCACGUUUAAAUAAUAACUAACACUUUCUAGAUUCAAAUGUUUUGCCAUAUCAGGCAUAUAUAUAAAAACUAAUUUUUCCUACAUUCAAAUUUCUGAAGAUACCGCUACUGUGGCCUGACAGUAUGUAGGCAAAUAUCUAUAUUUUAGAUCCUUUACAGAUUGGCACAACAUAAUUUGCAAUAUUUGUAGUAUAGCAAAUUUAUGUUAUUUUCUAAUAACUUAAAUUGUGGUUUUUAGAAUGAUAGCAAACUUGUUUAAAUCAUUUUUUUCAGUUUCCAAUUUGAAAUUUGUAAACCUAUUAAGAUAAAAGAUUAAAUUAAAAUUCAAGUACAUAGAAACUUUGGACAUGAUUUCUAUAAAUGAUAUUUAAAUCUAAUAUGAACUUAGUUAUUUUUUAUUUACACAUUGUGACCUUUAAUUGGAAUAAUUAAUUCCUAUGUCUAUUAUUUGUUGAGUUGCUAUUGUAGUACCUAUUUUAAAUCGUACAUACAAAUGAAAGAAUACAACGACAUUGUAAAGUAUUUGUUAUAAAUUUAAAUGUAUUAAAUGUUUUUAUUUUUUUUUUGAGCUGAUUAAGAACAAAAAAUGGCAACAAUUACGUCAACUACUUUCACACCGGGUACCCUAUUAUGGGUAAAUGUGAAUAACAUCUGGUGGCCAGGGAAAGUCGUACACCCAAAAAGUGCACCAAAAAAAACACAGCAUAUCAUGAACCAAAAGCGGCAUCUCGCUGCUAUAGUCUGGUUUGAGACAGACAACAAAUAGUAAGUUUAAAUUA